UACGUAGGCAGCAAGCGUUGUUCGGAAUUACUGGGCGUAAAGGGCUCGUAGGUGGCCAACUAAGUCAGACGUGAAAUCCCUCGGCUUAACCGGGGAACUGCGUCUGAUACUGGAUGGCUUGAGUUCGGGAGAGGGAUGCGGAAUUCCAGGUGUAGCGGUGAAAUGCGUAGAUAUCUGGAGGAACACCGGUGGCGAAGGCGGCAUCCUGGACCGACAUUGACGCUGAGGAGCGAAAGCCAGGGGAGCAAACGGG
rnacentral:rRNA from 1 species